rnacentral:rRNA from 1 species
AGGAAAAGAAACUAACAAAGGAUUCCCCUAGUAACGGCGAGUGAAGCGGGAAGAGCUCAAAUUUGAAAUCUGGUGGCCUCAGGUCAUCCGAGUUGUAAUCUAUAGAAGUGUUUUCCGUGCUGGCUCAUGUACAAGUCCCUUGGAACAGGGCGUCAUAGAGGGUGAGAAUCCCGUCCUUGACAUGAACUACCAGUGCUCUGUGAUACAUUUUCAACGAGUCGAGUUGUUUGGGAAUGCAGCUCAAAAUGGGUGGUAAAUUCCAUCUAAAGCUAAAUAUUGGCGAGAGACCGAUAGCGAACAAGUACCGUGAGGGAAAGAUGAAAAGCACUUUGGAAAGAGAGUUAAACAGUAUGUGAAAUUGUUGAAAGGGAAACGAUUGAAGUCAGUCGUGCUCUUUGGAUUCAGCCGGUUCUGCCGGUGUACUUCCUUUGAGUGGGGUCAACAUCAGUUUUGAUCGCUGGAUAAAGGCUGGAGGAACGUAGUACCCUCGGGUAAACUUAUAGCCUCCUGUCACAUACAGUGGUUGGGACUGAGGAACGCAGCACGCCUUUAUGGCCGGGAUUCGUCCACGUACGUGCUUAGGAUGUUGACAUAAUGGCUUUAAACGACCCGUCU